CCUACGGGAGACAGCAGUGAGGAAUAUUGGUCAAUGGGCGUAAGCCUGAACCAGCCAAGUCGCGUGAGGGAUGAAGGUUCUAUGUAUCGUAAACCUCUUUUAUAAGGGAAUAAAGGGCGGGACGCGUCCCGUGUUGUAUGUACCUUAUGAAUAAGCAUCGGCUAACUCCGUGCCAGCAGCCGCGGUAAUACGGAGGAUCCGAGCGUUAUCCGGAUUUAUUGGGUUUAAAGGGUGCGUAGGCGGCCUUUUAAGUCAGCGGUGAAAGUCUGUGGCUCAACCAUAGAAUUGCCGUUGAAACUGGGAGUCUUGAGUAUGUGUGAGGCAGGCGGAAUGCGUGGUGUAGCGGUGAAAUGCUUAGAUAUCACGAAGAACCCCGAUUGCGAAGGCAGCAUGCCAGGCCCUGACUGACGCUGAUGCACGAAAGCGUGGGGAUCGAACAGGAUUAGAUACCCUUGUAGUC
rnacentral:rRNA from 1 species